UCUCCGUUGGUGAACCAGCGGAGGGAUCAUUACAGGACUCGCAAGACUCCUUACACCCUGUGAACCUUACUGUAUACGCGUUGUUUCGGCGGGUCCGCCCGCCGGCAGCAUACCACAUUCUGUUUCUCUGCGUUGGCAUCUCGAGAAAAAAGCAAAUAAGUUAAAACUUUCAACAACGGAUCUCUUGGUUCUG
rnacentral:misc_RNA from 1 species